AUUGAACGCUGGCGGCAGGCUUAACACAUGCAAGUCGAGCGGAGUGAUGGUGCUUGCACUAUCACUUAGCGGCGGACGGGUGAGUAAUGCUUAGGAAUCUGCCAUUUAGUGGGGGACAACAUUCCGAAAGGAAUGCUAAUACCGCAUACGUCCUACGGGAGAAGGCAGGGGAUCUUCGGACCUUGCGCUAAAUGAUGAGCCUAAGUCGGAUUAGCUAGUUGGUGGGGUAAAGGCCUACCAAGGCGACGAUCUGUAGCGGGUCUGAGAGGAUGAUCCGCCACACUGGGACUGAGACACGGCCCAGACUCCUACGGGAGGCAGCAGUGGGGAAUAUUGGACAAUGGGCGGAAGCCUGAUCCAGCCAUGCCGCGUGUGUGAAGAAGGCCUUUUGGUUGUAAAGCACUUUAAGCGAGGAGGAGGCUACUAGUACUAAUACUACUGGAUAGUGGACGUUACUCGCAGAAUAAGCACCGGCUAACUCUGUGCCAGCCGCCGCGGUAAAAC
rnacentral:rRNA from 1 species